rnacentral:tRNA from 1 species
AGCCCUAUGGUGUAAUGGUCAGCACUUUGGACUCUGAACCCAGUGAUCUAAGUUCAGAUUUCUGUAGGGCCU